UGAUAGAUCAAGGAUGGCUGGAAUGGUCCACGUUGUCGAAACUCGUGCCUGCUAGGAGAAGUCGGCGGCUGAUUACGGUAGUUGGGCGGGAGGUAACGGCCCCAUCCAAUCCCUUGAAUCAGUACGGGCCAUGAAAGUGGUAGCCCCGAGAGGGACACUGAGAUACUGGUCUCAGCCCUACGGGGUGCAGCAGGCGCGAAAACUCUGCAAUGUGCGAAAGCGUGAGGGGGGGAAUUCGCAGUGCUUACGGUUUAGCCUGUAGGCUUUUGCCAUGUGUAAAUAGCAUGGCGAAUAAGUGGUGGGUAAGACUGGUGCCAGCCGCCGCGGUAACACCAGCGCCACGAGUGGCUAUCGCGAUUAUUGGGCCUAAAGCGUCCGUAGUCGGUUCUGUGCAUCUUCUGUGAAAUCGCAGCGCUCAACGUUGCGGCAUGCGGGAGACACGGCAGAACUUGAGACCGGGAGGCGUGUAGGGUAUUCCACGGGGACCGGCAAAAUGGUAUAAUCCGUGGAUGACCACCUGUGGCGAAGGCGCUACACGAGAACGGAUCUGACGAUGAGGGACGAAAGCCAGGGGAGCAAACCGGAUUAGAUACCCGAGUA
rnacentral:rRNA from 1 species